UACAGAGGGUGCGAGCGUUGUCCGGAAUCACUGGGCGUAAAGGGCGCGUAGGUGGCCCGACAAGUCAAUGGUGAAAGCUCGACGCUUAACGUCGAGUCGGCCACUGAUACUGUUGGGCUGGAGCACUGUAGAGGCUCAUGGAAUUCCGGGUGUAGCGGUGGAAUGCGUAGAGAUCCGGAAGAACACCGGUGGCGAAGGCGGUGAGCUGGGCAGUUGCUGACACUGAGGCGCGACAGCGUGGGGAGCAAACAGC
rnacentral:rRNA from 1 species